rnacentral:rRNA from 1 species
AACGUAGGACGCGAGCGUUAUCCGGAUUUACUGGGCGUAAAGCGCGGGCAGGCGGUCUGACAAGUCUGAUGUGAAAUCUCCGGGCUUAACCGGGAGAGGCCAUUGGAAACUGACAGGCUGGAGGGCAGUAGAGGUAGGCGGAAUUCCGGGUGGAGUGGUGAAAUGCGUAGAGAUCCGGAGGAACACCAGAGGCGAAGGCGGCCUACUGGGCUGCACCUGACGCUGAGCCGCGAAAGCCAGGGGAGCGAACGGG